UGGGGAAUUUUGGACAAUGGGCGCAAGCCUGAUCCAGCAAUGCCGCGUGCAGGAAGAAGGCCUUCGGGUUGUAAACUGCUUUUGUACGGAGCGAAAAGGCUCUCUCUAAUACAGGGGGCUCAUGACGGUACCGUAAAAAUAAGCACCGGCUAACUACGUGCCAGCAGCCGCGGUAAUACAA
rnacentral:rRNA from 1 species